rnacentral:rRNA from 1 species
UACGUAGGGGCAAGCGUUGUCCGGAUUUAUUGGGCGUAAAGCGCGUGUAGGCGGCCACACAGGUCCGCUGUGAAAACUCGAGGCUCAACCUCGAGCUGUCGGUGGAAACCGUGUGGCUAGAGUCCGGAAGAGGAGACUGGAAUUCCCGGUGUAGCGGUGGAAUGCGCAGAUAUCGGGAGGAACACCCGUGGCGAAGGCGGGUCUCUGGGACGGUACUGACGCUGAGACGCGAAAGCGUGGGGAGCGAACAGG